rnacentral:rRNA from 1 species
GAUGAACGCUAGCGGGGAGGCUUAACACAUGCAAGUCGAGGGGCAGCAUAGGGUAGCAAUACUCUGAUGGCGACCGGCAAACGGGUGAGUAACGCGUAUGCAACCUACCCUGUACAGGGGGAUAACCCGGAGAAAUUCGGACUAAUAUCCCGUAAUAAUAUCCGGAGGCAUCUUUGGAUAUUUAAAGUUCCGACGGUACGGGAUGGGCAUGCGUAACAUUAACUGGUUGGUAAGGUAACGGCUUACCAAGGCUAUGAUGUUUAGGGGUCCUGAGAGGGUGGUCCCCCACACUGGUACUGAGACACGGACCAGACUCCUACGGGAGGCAGCAGUGAGGAAUAUUGGUCAAUGGGCGCAAGCCUGAACCAGCCAUCCCGCGUGCAGGAAGACGGCCCUAUGGGUUGUAAACUGCUUUUCCAGGGAGAGAAACUUACGCACGUGUUGCGUGACUGACGGUACCCUGGGAAUAAGCAUCGGCUAACUCCGUG